UACGUAGGUGGCAAGCGUUGUCCGGAUUUAUUGGGUUUAAAGGGUGCGUAGGCGGUCUUUUAAGUCAGUGCUGAAAUACUCCAGCUUAACUGGAGGGGUGGCAUUGAUACUGGAAGACUUGAGUGCAGUCGAAGUAGGCGGAAUUGACGGUGUAGCGGUGAAAUGCUUAGAUAUCGUCAAGAACACCGAUAGUGAAGACAGCUUACUAGGCUGCAACUGACGCUGAGGCACGAAAAGUGUGGGGAUCAAACAGG
rnacentral:rRNA from 1 species